AUACGGAGGGAGCAAGCGUUAUUCGGAAUCACUGGGCGUAAAGGACGCGUAGGCGGGUUAUUAAGUCGGGUGUGAAAUCCAAUGGCUCAACCAUUGAACUGCAUUCGAAACUGAUAACCUAGAGUAUGGAAGGGGCAGGUGGAAUUAGUGGUGUAGGGGUAAAAUCCGUAGAUAUCACUAGGAAUACCGAAAGCGAAGGCGACCUGCUGGGACAUUACUGACGCUGAGGCGUGAAAGCGUGGGGAGCAAACAGGAUUAGAAACCCGAGUAGUCC
rnacentral:rRNA from 1 species